UACGGAGGGUGCGAGCGUUGUCCGGAAUCACUGGGCGUAAAGGGCGCGUAGGCGGCGCGGAUAGUCGGCGGUGAAAGCCUGGAGCUCAACUCCGGGUCGGCCGUCGAUACUUCCGGGCUUGAGCACUGUAGAGGCAGAUGGAAUUCCGGGUGUAGCGGUGGAAUGCGUAGAGAUCCGGAAGAACACCGGUGGCGAAGGCGGUCUGCUGGGCAGUUGCUGACGCUGAUGCGCGACAGCGUGGGGAGCAAACAGG
rnacentral:rRNA from 1 species